AGCAUGGUGGAUCAGUGGCUAGCAUUGUUGCCUUGUACCCCCAGGGUUGGGGGUUCAAAUCCCACCUCUGCCA